UACGUAGGGGGCAAGCGUUAUCCGGAAUCAUUGGGCGUAAAGCGCGUGUAGGCGGUUCCGUAAGUCCGCUCUGAAAGCCUAGGGCUCAACCCUGGGAGGCGGGUGGAUACUACGGAACUGGAGUACGGAAGAGGAGAUUGGGAUUCCUGGUGUAGCGGUGAAAUGCGCAGAUAUCAGGAGGAACACCAACAGCGAAGGCAGAUCUCUGGGACGUUACUGACGCUGAGAAGCGAAAGCGUGGGUAGCGAACAGG
rnacentral:rRNA from 1 species